rnacentral:rRNA from 1 species
UCCUGGAGGCAACAAGUCUUGUCUAAUUUGGAAGUUAAGCAGGGUUCAUACUGGUUAAUACUUGGAUGGGAGACUCCCAGGAAAUAUCAAGGAUCUUCAGGGA